rnacentral:lncRNA from 1 species
GGGAGGUGUGUCCCUUUAAAGCAUUAGUCUCUGCGGAGAUGUGUCCCUUUAAAGCAUUAGCCUCUCGGAGAUGUGUCCCUUUAAAGCAUUAGUCUCUGGGGAGGUGUGUCCCUUUAAAGCAUUAGUCUCUAGGGAGGUGUGUCCCUUUAAAGCAUUAGUCUCUGGGGAGAUGUGUCCCUUUAAAGCAUUAGUCUCUGGGGAGGUGUGUCCCUUUAAAGCAUUAGCCUCUGGGGAGAUGUGUCCCUUUAAAGCAUAGCCUCUGGGGAGAUGUGUCCCUUUAAAGCAUUAGCCUCUGGGGAGAUGUGUCCCUUUAAAGCAUUAGUCUCUGGCGAGGUGUGUCCCUUUAAAGCAUUAGUCUCUGGGGAGAUGGGUCCCUUUAAAGCAUUAGCCUCUAGGGAGACGUGUCCCUUUAAAGCAUUAGCCUCUGGGGAGGUUUGUCCCUUUAAAGCAUUGGCCUCUGUGGAGAUGUGUCCCUUUAAAGCCUUAGCUUCUGGGGAGAUGUGUCUCUUAAAGCAUCAAUCUGUGUCCCUUUAAAGCAUUACUCUCUGGGGAGAUGUGUCCCUUUAAAGCAUUACUCUCUGGGGAGAUGUGUCUCUUUAAGCAGUAGCCUCUGGGGAGAUGUGUCUCUUUAAAGCAUUAGCCUCUGGGGAGAUGUGUAUCUUUAAAGCAUUAGCCUCUGGGGAGAUGUGUCUCUUUAAAGCAUUAGCCUCUGGGGAAAUGUGUCCCCUUAAAGCAUUAGCCUCUGGGGAGAUGUGUCUCUUAAAGCAUUAGCCUCUGGGGAGAUGUGUCCCUUUAAAGCAUUAGCCUCUGGGGCGAUGUGUCUCUUAAAAGCAUUAAUCUCUGGGGAGGUGUGUCCCUUUAAAGCAUUAAUCUCUGGGGAGUUGUGUCCCUUUUAAGCAUUAAUCUUUGGGGGAUAUGUCCCUUUAAAGCAUUAGUCUCUGGGGAGGUGUGUAUCCUUUGUCUGUGAUGAAACGUUAAAGUCUUUACUGUAAAUGCAUUCAGCACAGGAAAAUCAAGAUUCUGCUUGAAAAGAAAAGUAUAUCAACUGGCUCAUACGUAUUACAGUAGCUACAAGUGUAUAUGCUUGAAAUAUCUUAUAAUUUCCUAUGCAUUAUGCACCGUUUAAUUCAUGUAGUGUAAAUUCUUUAGACCGUCUCAGUUCAUGUAUUGACCGACACAUGAUACAGAGAAUAUAUUUUGAAUAUUUAUAUGUGUGCCCUGAAUAUGUGUGAAAUUAUGACAUAAUUAUUUUUUAAAUUAAACGUGUAUGUGAUACUGUGGACGUUAUACGCUGGAUAAUAAUUUAUUAAUAUUGUAAGAUUCUUUAACCGGUUUUAGGUACAGAUGGGAACAAUCUUAUUUCAGGUGGUAAGGGGGCUCCGCCGAGUAACCGCGUAAACAGUUACACGAGAGCCGGAUAUUCCCGUCUGCAUUAACAGCCAGUCAUAGAAUGUUUCUUUCAUGACCAAAUUCAAGAAAUAAUAGUGACAGUAAAAUCAAACGAACGCACUUCUUUUAAAGACUAUUUUCCUACAGUAGCGUAUUUAAACAAAGCGCGGGUAAUCAACGUCUGUAAACAGGAAAGAUGUAAUGGCGUUUCAAAGACAAACAACAAUGCUAAGUUCCGGUGAUUUUUCAUCCUUUACAGCAUAAUGUCAUGCAUUUAAUUAAACCUACGUUUUUUCAUUCGAAUAAUAUGCUUAAGGAAUAAAUAGGAGCUACCAAGGCAUUGGUUUUCUAUUCCUUUUUUAUUACUACAUAAAUCUGCUACCAUACGUUGUCCGUAUGACACCCCGGAUGAGUAAGAUGGAGCUUUCCAGGAGCGGUUUAAAUACAGGAAAUCCCCGUCUAGUAUUCACGUGUUCAUGCAUUUUUGGCUCUAACUAAAUAUGGUUUACGGUGGCGUUCAUUCAGUUUAAAACAUUUAGAAGCAGAAGUUAACCUGCCAUCUAUACGAACUAUUGUUAACCUUAUUGUUAAACCAAAUAACGUGUAGAUACCGGUUUCAUUUGAAAAUAUGUAUAUAAAUGGUGUAAUAAUAUUUAAUUAAGCUACGAAAACUUAUUUUCUGUUCACCUCCGGUAUUAUAACACAACAUAUAUCGACACUUCUAUUAGUCAUCCGUGGCCAACAGUUAAGAUACUGUUUACGUAACAUAACGUUCCAAAGUACAUUACACUUCUUUUUAAAAGGACAAUCAUCUGAGUGUAUUAUUUACUAUUUGUUUUUACUGUUGAUCAUUAAAUUAGUUAUGAAUUAGAAAAGAAUUUAAUAAUAUUUCAAACAUUUGACUAAAGAUACAGAAAUCUUU